GUGCUCACUUCAGCAGCACAUAUGCUAAAAUUGGAACGAUACAGAGAUUAUCAUGGCCCCUGCACAAGAAUGACACACAUUCGUCAGGCAGUCCAUAUUUUU
ensembl:snRNA U6 U6 spliceosomal RNA